rnacentral:rRNA from 1 species
GCGAACGCUGGCGGCAGGCUUAACACAUGCAAGUCGAACGGGUAUCUUCGGAUACUAGUGGCAGACGGGUGAGUAACACGUGGGAACCUACCCUUAGGUUCGGAACAACCGCGGGAAACUGCGGCUGAUACCGGAUAAUGUCUUCGGACCAAAGAUUUAUCGCCUUUGGAGGGGCCCGCGUCGGAUUAGGUAGUUGGUGAGGUAACGGCUCACCAAGCCUACGAUCCGUAGCUGGUCUGAGAGGAUGACCAGCCACACUGGGACUGAGACACGGCCCAGACUCCUACGGGAGGCAGCAGUGGGGAGUAUUGGACAAUGGGGGCAACCCUGAUCCAGCAAUGCCGCGUGGGUGAUGAAGGCCUUCGGGUUGUAAAGCCCUUUCGGCGGGGACGAUGAUGACGGUACCCGCAGAAGAAGCCCCGGCUAACUUCGU